GUGUCAGCAGCCGCGGUAAUACAGAGGGUGCGAGCGUUGUUCGGAAUUAUUGGGCGUAAAGCGCAUGUAGGCGGUCUGUUAAGUCGCGUGUGAAAGCUUCCAGCUCAACUGGAAAAGUGCGAGCGAAACUGGUGGACUUGAGUGCUGGAGAGGGUGGCGGAAUUCCCGGUGUAGAGGUGAAAUUCGUAGAUAUCGGGAGGAACACCAGAGGCGAAGGCGGCCACCUGGACAGACACUGACGCUGAGACGCGAAAGCGUGGGGAGCAAACAGGAUUAGAUACCCUCGUAGUCC
rnacentral:rRNA from 1 species